AGGGGCUUACAUAACCCAGCAGGAAGGGCAAGAGUAGCCCACGUGAGAGAGAAAGCAAAUGUAAUCUCAAAUAAGACCCCGGUAUUACUGAUUAGAAAGACCCUGUUGAAACAGUCGUGCUGAAGCCUGACAGCUUUGAUGACUUUGGAUGAAAACAGUUCCACAGGCUCACAUGCUUGAAUCCUUGGUCCCCAUUGGUCGAAAUGUUGGAAAGGGAGUAGGAUCUAGAAGAGAGCUCUCUCUGCUGUGGCUGCUGCAAUCCAGAUCUCCAACCCAGGGAAACAAAACGUGAGUCCAGUUAAAUGUUUUCUUUUGGAAAUUGCUUUGGCAGUGAAGUCUCCUGACAGCAAUACAAAGUAACUAAUUCUGUGCCUUGUAGGAAAGUUUCUGCUUCCAUGACUGAGCUUCCUGUUUGUUGCUCCCACAUUAGGUAUCUUUAUACCAUGAGACAAGCAAUAACCUCUUUUGGCAAUGAUUGCUCUAGCUGUUCUUACCCUCUGUUCAGGGGGGGGGGGGGCUCAAUGGCUUGAAUACCUUUAAUUGUUUUCUGUUCUAUUUUCUCCUCAUCACAGGGGUGAGAGAGAGGGAGUCUGUCUGGGGAAGGGCUCUUGAAGGACAUUUGAGAUAAGUGAUUGUGUCUGAAAUUGGAGGAGUCAUGCUCUCAGAUUUGGCUCCCAAUAUGUAUAAACAGUGCAUAUCAAUUUACCAACAGGAGAAGGAGCAGGCAUGCCUUCUGCUAACACUUCUCAGCUCCCUACUCACUCACUAUAAAAAGCUUCUCAGUUCACCACCUCCAUGUGUGCUCCAUAGUUGAGGGCACUGCCCUCAUAAAUGCCAUUAGUGAGUGUCAUUCAGCUCGUUUCUGUGUUGAGGGGGUAUUCCCUAUUUCACCAAUAUAUCAACAGUGUCUGAUCAGGUAGGCAACUAAGAGUGAAUAAAGAGAAAAAUAAGGUACAGAACACACAGAUUUUUAUCAAAUAGCUGGCAUAAGUAGGAAAGAGGCAGAAUUCUUUGAACAUAAAUAUGAAUUUAAAGUGUUGUUGAACAUGAGCAAGUUGCAUAAUCAUGAGGAGAAUUAAGAAACAGAAGGUUACUGAGAGUCUACAGCCAAAGCAUUUAAUCACUAUACUAUAUAUAAGAGAAAAGGGGAGAGGGAAGCAUAUGGAAGAAAAAAAAAGAAAGGGGGAAGCUGACUGACUCUUUUACUGGCUUUUGGGAACCUGCUCCUCAUACUGGGUCACCUUGCCCAGCCUAGUUCCUCCAAGGUUAGCCCUUCUGGUAGCACCUUCCACUCCCUAUAGUGGUUUCUUAACCACUUCCUCUUGUCUCAGGCUACCUUCUCUGGGGAAUCUCCAGCAUACUAGACAGAGUUGCCUACUGGUUCAGGGGACCGUCCCCUGUUGACUAGGGUUGUUCUUUAACUUACUGAUCAUCCCACUGGUCUAUUUAGACUCUAGCAGAACACCUGAGACCUUUGCACCAAAAACUGUGCAAAAAAUCUAAAUUGGGGUCAAAAUGAGUAUUGCCUGAAUUUGCAGGAGGCAAGACUGAAAGAAGACAAUAUCCAUAAAGAAAGACCCUUGGGUUCCAUGUCCAGUAUGUUCCAACUGGCUUAGGCAGUCCUAUCCCUAUAGCCUUACUGUUAUGGUAAAACUAAAAUGUCACAGGUCCCUGAGUGGUGGUAGUGGGCAAUGGGCCAGAGACCAUGGCGGGCCACUAAGGCAGCUAGUCCCAGGCAGGGAGCCAUGCAGUGGAUGAGAGACAGAGACCUAUUAGGCAUGCUGUAAUGGUAAAGGUAAAAAUACUGCGGAUCCCUGGCAGCUGCAGGAGCAGAAAUUCUGCAGGUCCCUGAGCAGUGACAGUGAGCCAUGUGGUGGCAGGCAGUGAACAGCCAGUCCCAGGCAGGGAUGGUGCAGUUCCCUGAGUGGCUGCAAAAGCCACAAAGAGAGAAAGAAAGGUGGGCAUGCGAUGAGACCAUGCCAAGGUCUCCUAAGGUGGCUGGUCCCAAGCAGUGAGCCAUGUGGUAGCAGGCAAGAGACAGAGACAUGGAUAGGCAUGCCAUGCAGAGUGAGGUUGGAUAUUUAUUUAGUGGGUUAUGGGGAGGAAAAAGAGAAUGUAGAAGGGGGAAGAGCAGAGAGACAGAGAAAGAGAGAG